GACGAACGCUGGCGGCGUGCUUAACACAUGCAAGUCGAACGGUGAAGCGCUUGCCUUUUUGGUGGGUGUGGAUGAGUGGCGAACGGGUGAGUAACACGUGAGUAACCUGCCCUCUUCUUCUGGAUAACCUCAUGAAAGUGGGGCUAAUACGGGGUAUUCCGGGUCUGUCGCAUGGCGGGUUUGGGAAAGAUUGCGCCUUUGGGUGUUUUCGGUGGGGGAUGGGCUCGCGGCCUAUCAGCUUGUUGGUGGGGUGAUGGCCUACCAAGGCGGUGACGGGUAGCCGGCCUGAGAGGGUGGACGGCCAGACUGGGACUGAGACACGGCCCAGACUCCUGCGGGAGGCAGCAGUGGGGAAUAUGGCACAAUGGGCGCAAGCCUGAUGCAGCGACGCCGCGUGAGGGAUGGAGGCCUUCGGGUUGUGAACCUCUUUCGCCAGUGAAGCAGGCCUGCUCCUGUGUGGGUGGGUUGACGGUAGCUGGAUAAGAAGCGCCGGCUAACUACGUG
rnacentral:rRNA from 1 species